rnacentral:rRNA from 1 species
CCUACGGGUGGCAGCAGUGAGGAAUAUUGGUCAAUGGGCGCAAGCCUGAACCAGCCAAGUCGCGUGAGGGAUUACGGCCCUACGGGUUGUAAACCUCUUUUGCCGGGGAGCAAGGGCGGGCACGUGUCCCGGCUAGGAGAGUACCCGGAGAAAAAGCAUCGGCUAACUCCGUGCCCGCAGCCGCGGUAAUACGGAGGAUGCGAGCGUUAUCCGGAUUUAUUGGGUUAAAAGGGUGCGCAGGCGGGAGUUUAAGUCAGCGGUAAAAUUUCGGGGCUCAACCCCGUCCGGCCGUUGAAACUGGUGGCCUUGAGUGGGCGAGAAGAAGGCGGAAUGCGUGGUGUAGCGGUGAAAUGCAUAGAUAUCACGCAGAACCCCGAUUGCGAAGGCAGCCGUCCGGCGCCCAACUGACGCUGAGGCACGAAAGUGCGGGGAUCGAACAGGAUUAGAUACCCGUGUAGUC